rnacentral:rRNA from 1 species
UACGUAGGGUGCGAGCGUUAAUCGGAAUUACUGGGCGUAAAGCGUGCGCAGGCGGUUCGUUGUGUCGGCGGGGAAAGCCCCGGGCUUAACCUGGGAAUGGCCGUCGAAACUGGCGAACUGGAGUGUGGCAGAGGGGGGUGGAAUUCCGCGUGUAGCAGUGAAAUGCGUAGAGAUGCGGAGGAACACCGAUGGCGAAGGCAGCAUCCUGGACCAACACUGACGCUGAGGCGCGAAAGCUAGGGGAGCAAACAGG